GAUGAACGCUGGCGGCGUGCUUAAUACAUGCAAGUCGAACGGAGACUGUAGCAAUACUGUCUUAGUGGCGAACGGGUGAGUAACGCGUUGGUGACCUGCCCCGAAGAGGGGGAUAACAGUCCGAAAGGAUUGCUAAUACCCCAUGUGGUCGUUUGGAUUAGAUGCCUUACGACUAAACGGAUUUAUUCGCUUCGGGAGGGGCCUGCGUCCCAUCAGCUAGUUGGUAGGGUAAUAGCCUACCAAGGCGAUGACGGGUAGGGGACCUGAGAGGGUGGCCCCCCACAAUGGAACUGAAACACGGUCCAUACACCUACGGGUGGCAGCAGUAGGGAAUAUUGGUAAUCUGGGAAACCGGGAACCAGCAACGCCGCGUGCGCGAUGAAGGCCUUCGGGUUGUAAAGCUCUUUCAGACGGAAAGAAAACGCAUCGGUGAAUACCCGGUGUGGAUGACGGUACCGGUAAGAAGAAGCACCGGCUAACUACGUG
rnacentral:rRNA from 1 species